rnacentral:rRNA from 1 species
AUUGAACGCUGGCGGCAGGCCUAACACAUGCAAGUCGAACGGUAACAGGAAGAAGCUUGCUUCUUUGCUGACGAGUGGCGGACGGGUGAGUAAUGUCUGGGAAACUGCCUGAUGGAGGGGGAUAACUACUGGAAACGGUAGCUAAUACCGCAUAACGUCGCAAGACCAAAGAGGGGGACCUUCGGGCCUCUUGCCAUCGGAUGUGCCCAGAUGGGAUUCGCUAGUAGGUGGGGUAACGGCUCAACUAGGCGACGAUCCCUAGCUGGUCUGAGAGGAUGGCCAGCCACACUGGAACUGAGACACGGUCCAGACUCCUACGGGAGGCAGCAGUGGGGAAUAUUGCACAAUGGGCGCAAGCCUGAUGCAGCCAUGCCGCGUGUAUGAAGAAGGCCUUCGGGUUGUAAAGUACUUUCAGCGGGGAGGAAGGGAGUAAAGUUAAUACCUUUACUCAUUGACGUUACCCGCAGAAGAAGCACCGGCUAACUCCGUG